UCCCACUUUUCUCUCUCCCAUACAACAUUUCCCCCCAAUUUGCCGCCUCCUCUUCUCACAGAACGCAACCCAACCACUAUCCUUCUAAUUUCCCUCUUCCUCUUCUCACAACCUACCAUCUGAACGCCGCCGCUACCCUUUCUCGAUUUCCCUCUUCCUCUUAUCGCAACCCACCAUGCAAAUGUCGCCGCUAUCCUCCCCAUUUCCCUCUUCCUCUUCUCGCAACCCACCAUUCGAACGUCGCUGCUACUUGCUACCAUCUGAAUGUCGCCGAACGCCACUGCUAUCUGCUAGCAUCUGAACGUCGUUGGAGGCCGCCACUCCUUUGCUCACCAAACUCGUCGUAAGUGCUCCAUUCGUUGCAGCUCACCCUAAGUUCACUCGUGAGGGAUUAAUAUCAAGCUAGUGGAUGAAUACUUAUUGGAUCUUGAAAGGAGAUUUAAAGGAAGAGAAGGCUAUUGACCGUGGAAUUCUUUCCUUGCUCCAACCUGCAACUUUGGUUCAAACUUUUGGACAAAGGAACCAUGCUUGCUUGAACGAGGGUCCAUCAUUGUUCCUCCAUACUGUCCUCCCUAGAAAAUGAAAACCCACCUAAUCUCCCUUGAAACUCAUUGCUCUAUCAUCGUCUAUUUUGGUGGAUUGUUUUAUGAUGUUAACAAUGACCCAGAAGGUGGUUAUUACAUAAGAGGUGCAAGAGCAGUUGUGUGGGAGAACUUGAAAAACAAUCCUCUCUUUAAUAUCUUUACCGACCAUCCAACGACGUAUUAUGAAGAUAUGCACAGGGAAAUAUUUUGUUUAUGUCCUCUUGGACAUCUCUAUCGACCAUCCAACGACAUAUUAUGAAGAUAGCUAUUAUUAUUGAUUUAGAACAUGCCACAUAUAGUAAAUUUUAGCUAACUAUAUUGGAUUGAAAUUGUGUAAUUGUUGAUGACAUUGUUGAGAUUAAUGAAAUUAUUGUUGGUUUA